UGAGUAAUGUCUGGGGAUCUGCCCGAUAGAGGGGGAUAACCACUGGAAACGGUGGCUAAUACCGCAUAACGUCGCAAGACCAAAGAGGGGGACCUUCGGGCCUCUCACUAUCGGAUGAACCCAGAUGGGAUUAGCUAGUAGGCGGGGUAACGGCCCACCUAGGCGACGAUCCCUAGCUGGUCUGAGAGGAUGACCAGCCACACUGGAACUGAGACACGGUCCAGACUCCUACGGGAGGCAGCAGUGGGGAAUAUUGCACAAUGGGCGCAAGCCUGAUGCAGCCAUGCCGCGUGUAUGAAGAAGGCCUUCGGGUUGUAAAGUACUUUCAGCGGGGAGGAAGGCAGUGAGGUUAAUAACCUUACUGAUUGACGUUACCCGCAGAAGAAGCACCGGCUAACUCCGUGCCAGCAGCCGCGGUAAUACGGAGGGUGCAAGCGUUAAUCGGAAUUACUGGGCGUAAAGCGCACGCAGGCGGUCUGUUAAGUCAGAUGUGAAAUCCCCGGGCUUAACCUGGGAACUGCAUUUGAAACUGGCAGGCUUGAGUCUCGUAGAGGGGGGUAGAAUUCCAGGUGUAGCGGUGAAAUGCGUAGAGAUCUGGAGGAAUACCGGUGGCGAAGGCGGCCCCCUGGACGAAGACUGACGCUCAGGUGCGAAAGCGUGGGGAGCAAACAGGAUUAGAU
rnacentral:rRNA from 1 species